rnacentral:lncRNA from 13 species
UAUGUUGUUAUCAUUGUUAUUAUAGCAAAAGGUUUGGAAACAACCAAAAUGUUCAUCAGUAGGAAACUCAUUAAAUAAAUUAUACAACACUGGCAUAACGGAAUACUAUAUAGAUGUUUAAAAAGUGAGACAGCCCUCUAUGUACUGACAUGGUAUCCCCAGAACACUGAUUCUCCUCCUCAAGCUGCCUGCAUUCCAGAAUCUGAGACCAGAUUUCCUUGGAUGGAAGAGUAAGGCCAGACUUUGGGAAUUUCUAAUUUUCCUACUGGGAGUGGUGGCUCAUGCCUGUAAUCCUGGCACUUCGGGAAGCUGAGGUGGAAGAAUCACUUCAAAUCAGGAGACCAGCGUGGCCAACAUGGUGAAACCUCAUCUCUAUGAUAAAUACAAAAUUAUCUUGGCGUGGUGAUGCAUACCUGUAGUCCCAGCUACUUGGGAAGCUGAGGCAGAAGAAUCGUUUGAACCA